AUUGGACGCUGGCGGCAGGCCUAACACAUGCAAGUCGAGCGGAUGACGGGAGCUUGCUCCUUGAUUCAGCGGCGGACGGGUGAGUAAUGCCUAGGAAUCUGCCUGGUAGUGGGGGACAACGUUCCGAAAGGAACGCUAAUACCGCAUACGUCCUACGGGAGAAAGCAGGGGACCUUCGGGCCUUGCGCUAUCAGAUGAGCCUAGGUCGGAUUAGCUAGUUGGUGAGGUAAUGGCUCACCAAGGCGACGAUCCGUAACUGGUCUGAGGGGAUGAUCAGUCACACUGGAACUGAGACACGGUCCAGACUCCUACGGGAGGCAGCAGUGGGGAAUAUUGGACAAUGGGCGAAAGCCUGAUCCAGCCAUGCCGCGUGUGUGAAGAAGGUCUUCGGAUUGUAAAGCACUUUAAGUUGGGAGGAAGGGCAGUAAGCUAAUACCUUGCUGUUUUGACGUUACCGACAGAAUAAGCACCGGCUAACUCUGUGCCAGCAGCCGCCGUAAAAC
rnacentral:rRNA from 1 species